AUUCUCUCUCACAAUGAAUCAGGGACACGAUCUGACUCCUAUAAGGGCCAUAUUCAAAAAGUGGUGAUUGCAUCCUUUGAAAGCCUGUUUGCAUAGCAGACAAUGAAGCUGAGCAGAGAAAAACAAGAUGAGAGACAGAUGGAGUAGGAGACCUGAGAAGAUGGCUUGAGUCCAUGAAUUCUGGUGUUCCCUAGGCCACAUUUGCCCCCAUCCUUCCCAGAUAUGUAUUCUGCAAUCAUGACCAAACAGAAGGACUAAAUCUGGAUCAGAAUCUGAAAUGUAAAAAGGCUACUUGUCAACCACGCCAUUGUUUUCCGUUGGAGCUAGCAGAGCAGCCUCGGCUGCACAUUCCUGGGACGUGAAUAAUAUCGGUUGUGAUUACACUUCAGUAUCUCAUCCAUUACCAGCCCUGUGAACACUGAAUAUAACCUAAUUAGGAAAUGCGAAGGGCCCUUUGCUAGGGAUGAGUGCUGGGGCAGCAGAGGUCCACAUGCCUUCCCGACACAGGGAUUCACCGGGUUUCAGACACAGGUUUGGAUCCUGCAGGGCUCAAGGACAGACUUUACUGGUCUAGUCCACAUUCCUUGUAUAAUCACCAGUAAGCUGAGAAUGUGACACCUUGGAUUCCAUCCUAUGUUACACUCCUCUUUAAAUGCAUUGCAAAGGAGAUAUGCCAGGACUGAUAAGUCAGUCAAUUUCAAAUAGGUAUUAAAGUAUUAAUGAAGUGAUUAACUCUCUCUGACUAAAACAUUUUUUUGUUUACUGGUUUCUACUGGCCUUGAAUAGGAAUUUCAAAUUUGUUGUUGACAAUUGGCUUCUCAUCUUUCACUGAAUUCUUCUAAGCUUGUUUGUCUUUUCCUACACAGCUCUUAAAAUGCUUUCAGAGGACUGAAUUCUAUCUUCCAAAGUGCAGAGAACAGAGCACUAAGGAUGUCUGCAGGCUUAAUUACAAAGGAUGUGAUUCUAUUCUUAUUGUUCCAUAACUUUUCUUUGUAGUAAAAGCUGCUGCAUUCAUUUAUUCAAUCCUCUGUCCCUGCAUUCAUCUGACACUUGCUGAGCACCUGCUAUAGCACAGAUUCACGUCAUGCCCAUGGCUGGCAUCCAGCAUUUAUAGGGUAACUGGCAGGAGAAAAGAAGAGGCCUGUGGCCAUGAGGCAGUGAGAUGGAGUCACCUGCUCUGGGAGUCAGCACCCCGCCACUCACACAGAGCCCAGCCAACUGAGCUAACUGAUAAGUCAACCUUAAUUCUGCUCUAAAAUAUUUUUCAUCAAACCACCCUCUGCUGAAUCAAUGUACAUUCCUAUAACCUGUAUCUUGCCCUAGUAAUGUGUGACCUUCAAUGUCAUGGUCCAAGGUUUUGCUGCUGGGACAUGUGGUCUCGGAAUGAUCAUCAGAAUCCUUCACUACAUGCUCUAAACCAUCAUUAGAUGCUCUACAGUUUGUCACUUGUUUCCAAGUGUCCUAUGUCCACCUCAUUUUAUAGAACUGGGCUUCACUUGAGUUCUCAUUCUGGGUACCUAGUAUAUUUCCCUGCAAUUCUAAUUGCUGGGUUCUCUCCCCAGGGAAUGGAGCCUGGCUUUGGCAUAGAUCUCCAUGAAGUACUGGGAUUUCAGAUGGCACCCACUCAAUUUUGUUCACCCAGCUCUGACCAUGAACGAACCAUUCUGCUACUUCUGCCUUCUAACCUGGUGUUUGCCUGCAUUUUAUCUGGACAUUGCUCAAUUGUCUUGGUUGCUAUGUCCCACCUGCUUGUCUGAAUUUCUGUUGUUACUCCAGUCCCUGCCUGUCCCUGCAACUUCACACCCACUCCCACCCCCAUUUGUCUUGAUGUCAAUGCCUUACUGAAAAAUCUUGAAAUUUGAUAGGGAGGAUAGUGGUGGCAUUAUUAUUAUGACUACUGCCUUACUCUUUAGAAAACUGAGGCUCAGAGGAUUAAGUGACUUGGCCAAUUACAUGUCUAAUAAAUAGCAGAAUACUGCCCAAGGUAAUUUAUAGAUUCAGUGCCAUCCCUGUCAAGCUACCAAUGACUUUCUUCACAGAAUUGGAAAAAACUACUUUAAAGUUCAUAUGGAACCAAAAAAGAGUGCACAUUGCCAAGUCAAUCCUAAGCCAAAAGAACAAAGCUGGAGGCAUCACACUACCUGACUUCAAACUAUACU
rnacentral:lncRNA from 1 species